UCGUGGUGCUCGUGCAUUGGGAGGCCAUGUUCCACCGACGCCGGCCCUCCUGCUUGCUGUGACACAGUACAGGUUAGCACCGUUUCCCAUCUCUGUCAAGAUCAAAACCGCGUUCGUUUGCUUGAUUGAUUCAAACCACGUCACCAGAUUCAGACUGCAUGAAGAAUGUCUCUAGUACAUGUAGGAGUCGUUUGUUAUGUGCCGUCCAUCAAUCAUGCAAGAAAAUUUUCUUUUUCUUGCUCAAAAUAUUCAUGCGUGCGUGCCUUCCUGCCUAAUUAGCAGCAGUUAUUUUUUAAUGAACACCAGUGAAGAGUUUAAGUUGUGGUGGGCGAACAAAACACUGAGUGGCUAAUUGAAUCCAUUUGCGUGGCUAGUUUGCAGUUGUGGGGGACGAACAAACUGAGUUUUAGUAGUAGUGUACCAUGCAUAUAUUUGUGCUGUCAAAAAUUAUUCUCUUUAUCCUGGAUUGCAAUGUAAAGCCAGCCGGGCUACAUUAAUUGAGUCUAGUCACACAACACUAUCAUGGCAGUUUGAUCGCUUCAUAACAAUUACAGUCGACAACUCAAACCUGACAAUAGUCCUUUGAAUCUCCAAAGCAGCAGUUUGGAUACAUGUGAAUCUGAGCCCGUAUGCGCCAUAGGAGCAUAGUAGAGAUAAACUUCCCUGUUGUUUGCCGGCUCUUUACUGUUUACUAGUUCACUACUGGAAUUGAUGCUUUCUUAUUUUCGUUUGUCGCCAGGAUUCAAGGAUUUCAAUGGGGAGGAAUACACCAAGCAAACGGCACAACAAGGAACCAUCUGACCCAUUAUAGGUAACAGCUAGACCUGACAUGGAAAAUAAGCUUUGUGGUCUGGCCCUGAUGUAUUUACUGAUUAAUGUGUGUUUUACAGCAAGGCUGACUUUAUAUCUUGCUCUUCUUGAUUCUCAUCUACUUAAUCAUGCAGCUGUGUGGCUAAUUGCUUGGGACUUGUCCCCCUUGGGCUGGAAGUUUAGCCUAUCCGUUAUUCAUGAUGAUUGAUGUGGUUACCCGCAAAGGUUUAAACUUGAACUAGUUGUUUUGGGUUGCUGUUGAAUGUAAUAAGCUGUGACGAGUGCCUGGAUGGAUUCAUGUUUUGCUGGAUGCUAGCACUUAGCUAGUUUCCCCAUAUACAACUGAUUAGUUUAGUUGAUGUCCUCACUGUAUCAUCAUGGUUUUAGUUUAUAUAAGUGGAAACUGGUUACUAUUCUGAAAUUAAUCAACCAGCAUGCUUUUGUUAAUUGCUAUGGAGUAAUUCUGAUAAGAACAAGUUCAAUUUACUUGGUCUUGGUAUAGCUUGUUCAUUUCCUGAAUUGACAUGGUAUAGUAACUACAUGUUCAUGGUUAUGCUACUGUUUGGUCGUAGUAAUUCAAUCAAUAUGCUUUCUUGGCCAUGAUAGCAGGAUUGGCUUUUAGAGUUCCUAUUUUCUGCUGAGGUGGUUCUUGGUCUUGCUUGAUAGGAUAAGAUACCGAUAUUCUCUACUUGAUCUUUUACUGAGUGCUAGUGGCGUGCUUUGUGUUGCUGAUGAGAGAUAUUGCAAACUUGAGCUAUUCCCAUGUGUCAUGCGCAGCGAGGAUCUUGAUUUUACAUUUAUGCCCACAGUAGAAGAUAUAUUCUACUUUCGCCAAUGGAAAAUGAUAAACUUGUCAACUUUUGGAUGUCCAUUUUAGUGAGAGGAUUUGUACAAUUAUGCAUGCAAUUGGAUCUGGUCUUUCUAUGACAUGUUAGUCUACAUUUGCUUGGUUAGAGCAACCUGUGGAUUUUUUCAACAAGCACAAAACUAUGUAAAUUAGACCCUGCUGUAUAUGAUGUUAAAAACAUCCUCUCCUUUAAUAUGUUAUUUUUUUCUUUCAUAUAGGCAUGUAAACCAUGACCCUGUACCACAAUGGCUCUUUCUAAGGGUGAUAUUAGAUAGAGAUUUGUGUGCUACUUGCUUAGAAUCAAGGAAAUGGUUAUUGAUUGCUGCCAUGGAUUUUACAUAUAUUCCAUGGCUUUUGCAUACGUUUUUGCUAUGGUGCGGGACGCGCGACAGUGACAACUUAGUGCCAUACUUUGGUCCAUUGUUUGGUGUUGGUGCCAUAGCGAUAGAUGAUGAUGGUGUUGUUACCACGAAAAGUUUAAAUCUGAGAUUGUCGUUUGUGUUGUCAAAAAUUAUUCUCUCUAUCCUGGAUUGCAAUGUAAAGCCAUCCGGGCUACAUUAAUCGAGUCUAGUGACACAACAUUAUCAUGUCAGUUUGAUCGCUUUAUAACAAUUACAGUCGACAACUCAAAGCAUAAAAAUGAUACAGAGAAACUGCUCCUUGUUUUCUAAUGUUUAGAACGGUGUGUUGUUUUUCAAUCUUCCCAUUCUCCUCCUGCAUAUUCUAUACUACAACCUAGCUCUUGAUUCAUACUAAAUCACUGUUCUUUGCUUGGUAUUUGUACUAGUGGUCAGGAGGUGAAUGUGUUUUCCUUCUUGUAACUAUGAAACAUGUCAAUGGCAUCACUAUUUCGAACCUGACAGUAGUCCUUUGAAUCUCAAUCCAAAGCAGCAAUUUGGAUACAUGUGAAACUGAGCCCGUAUGUGAAUUCAUGCUUUUUUAUUUUCUCAGUAUAAGGCCUGUUUGCCGCUCACUAUCUCGUUUGUCGCCAGGAUUCAAGGAUUUCAAUGGGAAGGAAUACGCCAAGCAAGUGGCACAACAAGGAACCAUCUGACACAUCAUGGGUAACAGCUAGACUUGACAUCUAAAAUAAGUUGUGUGGUCUGGCCUUUAUGUAUUUACUGAUUAAUGUGUGUUUUACAGCAAGGCCGACUUUAUAUAUUGCUCUUCUUGAUUCUUAUCUACCUAAGCAUGCAGCUGUGUGGCUAAUUGCCUGGGAUUUUGCUCCCCUUGGGCUGGAACUUUAGCUUAUCUGUUAUUGAUCAUGAUUGAUGUGGUUACCCGCAAAAUUUUAAACCUGAACUAGUUGUUUUGGGUUGUUAUUGAAUGUAAUCAGUUGGGACGAGUGCCUGGAUGGGUUUUUGUUUUGCUGGGUGCUAGCUCUUAGCCAAUUUUGCCAUAUACAACGAUUAGUUUAGUUGAUGUCCUCACUGUAUCAUUAUGGUUUUAGUUUAUAAGUGGAAACUAGUCACUGUUCUGAAAUUAAUCAACUGGCAUGCUUUUGUUGAUUGCUAUGGAGUAAUUCUGAUAAGAACAAGGCCAAUUUACUUGGUCUUGGUAUAGCUUGUUCUUUCCUGAAUUGCCAUGGUAUAGUAACUACAUCGACAUGUCAUGGAUAUGCUACUGUUUGGGUCGCAGUAAUUCAAUCGAUAUGCUUUCUUGGCAUUAUAGCAGGAUUGGCUUUCAGAGUAAAUAUUUCCUGCUUAGGUGAUUCUUGGUCUUGUUUGAUAGGAUAAGACGAGACCGAUAUUCUCUACUUCAUCUUUUACUGAGUGUUAGUGGCGUGCUUUGUGUUGCUGACGAGAGGCUUGGUAAACUUGAGCUAUUCCCAUGUGCCAUGCUGUGCGCUACGAGGAUCUUGAUUAUACAUUUAUGCUCACUUUAGAAGAUAUAUUCUACUUUCACCAAUGAAAAAUGAUAAACUUGUCAACUUAUGGAUGCCAUUUUAGGGAGAGGAUUUGUACAAUUAUGCAUGCAACUGGAUCCAAGUCUUUCUAUGAAAUGUUAGCCUACAUUUGCUUGGUUAGAGCAACAUGUGGAUUUUUUCAGCGAGCACAAAACUAUGUAAAUUAGACCCUGCUGUACACGAUGUUAAAAACAUCCUCUCCUUUAAUAUGCUAUUUUUUCAUAUAGGCAUGUGAACCACAUCCCCGUACCACAAUGGUUUUUUCUAAGGUGAUGUUAGAUAGAGGUUUGUGUGCUAGUACUUGCUUAGAAUCAAGGAAAUGGUUAUUGAUGAUGAUAUUGAUCAGGCCCGUACGGGAGGCAGGUGCAGGGUGUGCACUGGCACAGGGCCCCCCAAAAAUGGGGCCCCCAUAUUAAUUCUUGAAGUUAUGUUUACGGGGCCCCCAAACUUAUGAAGAGUAGGCAAAUUCGUUUGAAAACUAUGUAUAGAGAGCAUGUACUCCGUGGGAGUCUCCCUACUCCACACUGUCUUUCCCUCAUCUCUCCUUCGCAAAUUAUCUUUGGGGAGUUGGGGACUCUGCUCAGCAUUAGUUACAGAGAGAUGCAUGUCUUUUCACAUGCUACCUUUGGUCUUCCCAAUGUCAGCACUUGCCUCUAAAAAAAGUAGUAAAUCUAUAUCACAGCAUUAGUUACGGAGUAUGACAGUACUUGGGGGCGGAGUCAAAUACUAAUUCACGUGUUAAGUACAACAGUAGUUUGGGUAAUGAUGCGCUGGCAUACAAAUGUCUCUAAAUUUAAAAGUUGCAUGUCUUUUGCAUUAAGACGAAUAUUCAUCCGUCGACGAGUCCAAUAAUGUAUUUUUGGUGGCAUAAUUCAUCUUUCACUAACACAUUUCCGCAGUAGAUAAAUUGAAGACCUAAAGAAUCAGUGCGCACACCUUACAAAUCCGGAUAGAGGGAAUACAAUAUAUCACUUAAAAACUAAGCAUUCACGAUUUUACGUAUUUUCAACAUAUACUUCUUGAAAAAGGUUAACAUUAGUUCUAAAAAACUGUUGCCUGUAUGUUGAAAAUGCGAAAGGUCAUACUAACUAGUCUUCUUAAUGACUAGGACCUAGACUCAGAUUUUGCACAGGUGAAAGGAUCGAGAUGGACUUAGAGGGGGGUGAAUAGGUACAAUUACAAAUUUUAAUUAUUACUAAGCAAUUUUAGGAAAUAAUGCGGAAAAUGAAAGUGAGCCUAACAAUUGCUAGUAUGAUACUAAUGAGCUAAGCAAGAUAAUCAAGAGGCACAAAUAUAUGAGUAAGUAAGCACUAAGAGACAAGUAACCACAAGUAGAGAGAUAGGGUUAGGAAUAACCGCAACUCCGAGAGACGAGGAUGUAAGCCGAUGUUCACUUCCUUGGAGGGAAGCUACGUCACCGUUUAGAGAGGUGGAUGUUACCACGAAGGCACACCAACGCCACGAAGGCUCACCCUAUUCUCUCUUUGAGACAACACCACGGAGGCGUUUCUCAACCACUAGUGGUAGACCUUGGGGUGGUCUCCAAACCCUCACAAACUUUUCCGAGGGUAAUCACAAAGGUCGAUUCCUCUCCGGAUGACUCCUACCGCCUAGGAGUCUCCAACCUCCAAGAGUAACAAGAACGAUGGGGAAAUGCUCAAAACUUGCUCAAGUCACGAAUUCCUUUGGUGCAAAGAAAGGGAAGAAGUGGAUCUAUCACUUGAUUGGAGAACUUCUCUCAAAAAGCUCCUAGAACACUUGGAAUCUAGGAUUUAGUGUGGAUGAAUGAGAGAGAGAGAGAGUGAGGAGUGUUCUUGUAGGGGCUCAAAGUGAAUGGUCAACCCUAUCCCGUGGAAGGGAAGGGAGUAUAUAUAGGUGGUGGGAAAAAGUGACCGUUUGGGGUACAGGAUGGCUGGACGUCCGGAGAACGUCGGACGUCCGGAGAACGUCGGACGUCCGGAGGCCCAAAUGGGUCCGGACGUCCGACAGUCAUCGGACGACCGGCCGCUGUGAAAAGUGUGACCAACAAUCCAGUGUACAGGAUACGGACGUCCGAGCUGGGCCGGACAUCCGUAAGAAUGCUUCUGAUGUGAAAGUGUCGGACGUCCGGCGGGUUCCGGACAUCCGUAAAAAUGUUUCUGUUGUGGAAGUGUCGGACGUCCGGAAGUGUCCGGACGUCCGGGCAAUCAGGAAGGACCGGACGUCCGAAGGUAAGGUAGCAAGUUUGAGCAAGUUUUUUUCACAGAUCCAUCGAUCCCCUCUUAAUAGUGCGGGAUCCCUAUACUCAAGAACAAACCAAAAGUGAAGUCAACAUCUUGUACCUCCAUUCUUGAGUUAUAUGCUUUUGUCCCUAGUCAUUAUCCAUGCACGCGGUCUUUGGAACAUAAUCCUGAGAUAUACUUGAUAAACAUGAUUAGUCCCGAGCAUAUGUGUUGUCAUCAACAUCAAAAUAUGAUUAAGGGCAUGAUUGCACUUUCAACAGGGCCCCCAAAUUCUCAGGUACGACCCUGAUAUUGAUUGCUGCCAUGGAUUAUAUAUAUAUUCCAUGGCUUUUGCAUACAUUUUUGCUAUGGUACGUGACGUGCGAGAGUGACAACUUAGUGCCAUACUUUGGUCCAUUGCUUGGUGUUGGUCGAAAAGUUCAAAUCUGAGAUUGUCAUUUAGGGUUGCUGCUGAAUGUGGUCUUGUUAUGGUGGUGUGGAUCAGUUUUGGCAAGUUGCCCGAUGGGUUAUUGUUUUGCUGGGUGCUACCUCUUGCCUUGUUUUGUAUUCCCAAGUACCGUCUUUUUAAAACUCAAGGUCCUGCUUGCUUGUCUGCAGGCCAGGCCGCUACAGGAGAGAUGCAUCAAUGACCUGUGACUAUUCAGACUCACUUGAAGGACGGCGUGGUGAACUCCCAUUGUUGGUGAUGAAUGCCAGAUUUGAUUCAUCAGCUUACUGAGCCUGUCGUGUUGUUGGAUUAGUAGAGAAACGCUUGUUAGAGGAUUUUGACUUUAUCCAGUGCAUGAGUGAAUGAAAUUGAACAGUUUCAUUCUUGAUUUGGAGUGCAUGAAUGGAUCAUCCUGAUUUGCUUGAGUUGGCAAAUGUGCGGGCAUCGCAGACCAAAUAAAAUCUUCUAUGUUUGUGCCUUUUCUAUUGGCUUAUUAUGCAUUGCAUGGGUGUGUUGUGCAUAUAUGCAAGUGAGAUGGAUAUGGAGAUGGAGAAAUGGCCUGCAUGUAGGGUAACUAUGUCAAGUCAAUGAAUCAGCUAACAUUGUCAUCCGUUUAAUAUGCUCGUCAAGGCUAUGUCAUUUUCUUGAAGAUGUGUACAUGUCUGCAACCUCUUAUUUCUGCAUAUUAGUCCAACUGAUGCCGUUGACGAACUGAUACCCAAGCUGGAGUAUUUACUGUUCAACGUUCUGAUAAUCAUGAAUUCUUGAUGCCUCUUCUGGUCUAGAGCGCAACUAACUGGUGCAUGUUGGUUUCAG
rnacentral:lncRNA from 1 species